CUCAUCGUCUUUCUCGAAAAGGAUAUGCGGGUUUGUCUGAAGAAAUAUCCAAUGUUUUAUGUGAUGACGAAGAGAUAAACAGAGCCAUCCUCUGGAAGAAAGGGCGGCUCAACAAAGCUGGGGAAUAUGUUGGCGAUGAGUUGAAGCAAACAGUGAAUAAGAUUGAUGAUUAUAUUGUCCAAAAGAAGGAUGGUAAGAUGCCCUUUACCAAACCAUUUGAGG